rnacentral:rRNA from 1 species
UACGGGGGGAGCAAGCGUUGUUCGGAUUUACUGGGCGUAAAGGGCGCGUAGGCGGCCUCCGCAAGUCAGUUGUGAAAUCUCCGAGCUUAACUCGGAAAGGUCAACUGAUACUGCGGGGCUAGAGUGCGGAAGGGGCAACUGGAAUUCUUGGUGUAGCGGUGAAAUACGUAGAUAUCAAGAGGAACACCUGCGGCGAAGGCGGGUUGCUGGGCCGACACUGACGCUGAGGCGCGAAAGCUAGGGGAGCGAACGGG